GACGAACGCUGGCGGCGCGCUUAAUACAUGCAAGUCGAGCGAGAACCAGGGCUUCGGCCCUGGGGACAGCGGCGAACGGGUGAGUAACACGUGGGUAAUCAACCCCCGACACCGGGAUAGCCCAGGGAAACUUGGAUUAAUACCGGAUGCUCCAUCUGGCUUUCGAGCCGGCUGGAAAAGGGUAGCUUCGGCCUCCGGUCGGGGACGAGCCCGCGGCGGAUUAGCUUGUUGGUGAGGUAAAGGCUCACCAAGGCGACGAUCCGUAGCUGGUCUGAGAGGACGAUCAGCAACACAGGGACUGAGACACGGCCCAGACUACUACGGGAGGCGGCAGUAGGGAAUCUUGCGCAAUGGGCGAAAGCCUGACGCAGCGACGCCGCGUGAGGGAAGAAGGCCUUCGGGUUGUAAACCUCUUUCAGGAGGGACGAAGCCACUCGGGUUAAUAGCCUAGAGGGUGACGGUACCUCCAGAAGAAGCCCCGGCUAACUCCGUGCCAGCCGCCGCCGUAAGAC
rnacentral:rRNA from 1 species